UUGUUUGGCUCUCCAUUUAUGGCAACUUGAGAUAUGAUUUCUUGAAUAAGGAAAGAAGGCAACUUGAGAUUUGAAAUUUGAAUUUCAAAUUGCUUUGGCUGAAUGUUCUUUCCUUCUUUGGCACUUUUCUUAUUUAGAACUUUCUAUAUUGAGCUUUUCUUGAUUUCAACUUGGCAGGCUUGCUCUCUUUUGCUCCAAAUAAGGCAGUUUUAGGGGCAUUUUCUCCAAAGUGUCCUUUUACACCAUUUUCUGCAAAAUAAUACCAAGAGCACUAAAUUAAGCAGAAAUCAUGUAAAUAAUCAUCAAUAAUAUCAAGAUAAAAUGGACUAGAAUAUGUUCUAUCAAAUACCCCCACACUUAGCCUUUUUCUUGUCCUCAAGCAAAUAAACAUAGUCAAAUAAGCUUUCUUUGCUCUAAAUCCUUAUUUCCACUUAAGCUCUUACUCAAGACACCUAUUUUGAAUCAUUGCAGUGAAGAAUAUAUGCAUGAAGAUUACUCAACUUCUUUCCUUGUUUCCCUUUACUUACCAUGGCUAGGAUCUAUUUUCCUCAAGAGAGACCAUACAUGCACAUUAUUUGUUCAGAUAAGACUUUUUCUAGCUUUCAGAGUGACUUGUCCUUACCUUGAUGUACUUUAUUUAGGCUUUUGCACUUAGAUUUUGCUUGAAAAAGUCACCAACCUUUUGACGUGAAGGUACAUAUUUGUGAUACCCACCUCCAGUUACUCAGUUGGUCACCUGUCCAAGUGGCUACUAGCUCUGUUCGUAGUCUUUUGACCAUUGGAACAGUUUUUUAAGUUUGUGCUUUUGAGGUCUUUGCCUUUGCUAAAUUUUCUUUUUCUCAAUGAUUUGGGCAAAUCAACACCAAUUGCUAAAUCAAGUUAUGUUAAGUUCAUUUACACAAAUUUCAAUUCAUUCUCUUCAAUUGAGGGUCAUCAAUAUAUUUUUCACCAUAGCAAGCUCAACGAUUCAAUUCAAAAGGCAAUUCUCAAACAUGAAUAUAACUCACUGCAAUUGAUUCAACAUAAGUUUAAAGAGUCAUCACAUCAAUGGAGUCAUGGCAAGAAAACUCAUCCAACAUAGUUCAUCAGUUUGAGUAAAACAAAUCAAAAAGAAGAAGAAGGUUGUGGUUGUGUGUGUGUUAUUGAAAGCAUAAAACAAACAAAAAGAAAACUGAAAGCAUAAAUCGCAUAACUGAAAGGAAAAAUCGGAAAGAAAAUAAAAUUUUUUUCGCAAAUCUGAAAGGGAUCUUGCGCAAAACUGAAAGGAAAGAGGAGAAGAAGAAAGAAGAAGAAGAAGAGAAGUAAGAAGAGAUAUGCACCCCCACACUUAAAUCAUGCAUUGUCCUCAAUGUAAAAGAAAAGAGAAGAACAAAGGAAUCUGAAUACUCCCCUGGGGUGUGGUGUGCAUGGCGUGAUCACUAGGCAGACUGAGAUGGUUUUUGUAGUGGAAUUUCUUCUACUAUUUGUACUGCGAAUCCUUCAUAGAAAGGUUUCAGGCGAUGGCCAUUCACCUUGAAGAUUUUUCCUAUCUCUACACUACGAAUUUCUACAGCUCCAUGUGGAUAAGCAUGUUCCACAAUGAAUAGUCCAAUCUACCUAGACCGUAGCUUACCUGGAAACAAUUUUAAACGAGAGUCAAAGAGUAAGACUUUAUCACCAACCUUAAAUUGUUUUCUUGAAAGCUGACUGUCAUGGGAGGCUUUGGUUUUUGCUUUGUAGUUCCAAGAGUUCUCAUAUGCAUCUCGUCUGAUUUUCUCUAGUUCUUGCAGUUGCAACUUGCGAUGUUGUCCAGCUUCUUUGAGGUCCAUGUUGUAAUUCUUUACAGCCCAAUAUGCCUUGUGUUCAAGUUCAACUGGAAGGUGACAAGCUUUUCCAUAGACCAAUCUAUAAGGAGACAUACCUAUGGGGGUCUUGUAAGCUGUCCUGUAGGCCCAUAAAGCGUCCGCCAAACUUGAGCUCCAAUCCUUGCGGUUGGGAGAAACUGUCUUUUCAAGGAUGGCUUUGAUUUCUCUAUUGGACACUUCAACUUGCCCAUUUGUCUGAGGAUGGUAGGUUGUGGAUGUCCUAUGUAUGACAUUAUGUUUUCUGAGGAGGCUCUCUACUACCUCAUUGCAAAAGUGGGCCCCUCUGUCACUGAUGAUUGCCUUUGGUACUCCAUGUCGAGCAAAGAUGUUGGUCUUCACAAAGUCUAUCACUACUUUGGCAUCAUCAGUCUUUGUUGCUCUAGCUUCCACCCAUUUGGACACAUAAUCCACUGCAAGGAUGAUGUAAGUGUAUCCAAAGGAUGGUGGGAAUGGGCCCAUGAAGUCUAUAUGCCAUACAUCAAACACAUCACAGACCAUGAUGGGGUUCUGUGGCAUUUGAUUUCUUUUGCUCAGAUUUCCAGUCUGUUGACACCUAGCACAAGAUCUGCAAAAGAGAAAGGCAUCUCGAAAAAUAGUGGGCCAAAACAGACCACUUUCAAGUAUCUUAUGAGCAGUCUUUCUUGGACCAAAGUGUCCACCACAACUAUAUGAAUGACAAAAAGUGAGAACUGAAGCUAUUUCUUGGUCUGGAAUACAUCUCCUUAUUAUUUGGUCAGCACAAUGUUUCCACAAAUAUGGCUCAUCCCAAACAUAGUAUUUGGCAUCUUUCUUUAUCUUAUCUUUGGUGUGUUUUGGCAUGUCAGAAGGAAAGUUACUUGUGGCCAGAUAGUUUACCAUGUCUGCAUACCAUGGUUCAUCAGAUUGGGCAAGGAAGAUUUGCUUAAGUAUGUCAUUGUUAUAUUCUUCAGAUUCUGAGAGGUGUUGCAAGGGUGUCUGCACAGAGGUGGUUUCAGAAGUCUCCUUUUGCGCAGGACUUGACUGUAGAGGAGGUGGCGUAGAACUGGAUUCAGAGGUCUCUUCUUGCGCAAGACUGGACUGAGAGGGAAGUGGAAAGGAGCUGAUUUGCGUGGGAGGCUGAAAGGGUGUGCCUGAAAGGCUUUCAGGUGCCUCUUUCUACGCAAUGCCCUUCUGCGCAUUCUUCUGAAGAGGUGCUUUAGAGGUUCCUUCAUUCUGUGCUUUUCUGACUCUCAUUCCUGCAAAGGUCAUCAUUCAGAAUACAAUCUUGAUUCUCAUCAAAUAUUUCCUGGCUUAAGCAGUUAAUAAUAUCAAGACCAUAAACAGGGGACAUAUCAUGUAGAUAUUUCAUAGCAUCAUAGACAUUGAAUUUAAUGACUUCCCCUUCAAACUCCAUACUCAAAGUACCAUUAUGCACAUCAAUCUUAGUCCUAGCAGUACUCAAGAAAGGUCAUCUAAGAAGGAUAUCAGAACUAGUAUUGCAACUAUCUUCCUUAGUAUCAAUCACAUAAAAAUAUACAGGAAAGACAAGUUCAUCUACUUGCACUAACACAUCUUCUAGAACACCUAUGGGAUAUACCACAGAUCUAUUAGCUAAUUGAAUCACAACUCUUGUGUCUUUCAGUGCACAUGCAUUCAGAGAUUUGUAGACGGAAAGAGACAUGACAUUAAUGGAUGCACCAAGAUCACACAUGGCUUUUUUAAUACCAACAUUCCCUAUCUUGCAAGAAAUAAUAAGCAUACCUUUGUCUUUGCAUUUAGUAGGGAGUUCUCUUUUAAUUACAGCAGUAACUACUUCACCUACACUUACUUUCUCUCUCUCAGCAAGCUUUCUUUUAUUGGUGCAAAGUUCUUUCAGAAAUUUUGCGUACCUGGGAAUCUGCUUAACAGCAUCUAGCAGAGGUAUGUUGAUUUUCACCUUUCUGAAGGUGUUAAGGAUCUCCUUUUCUUCCUUUUCUUUUUGUGUUCUUUCAAAUCUUUUUGAAAAAGGAGGUGGAAUCUGAAAUCUUACUUUUUGAUCAGUUUUGUGCUCAGGGAUGGGUUCAGAUUGCGCUGAAGGUGUUGCAGAUGCUUGCCCUUGCGCAAAUGGCUCUUCAGAAUGCGCUGGAGAGGCUUUUGAAUCAAUUGGUUUUUGCGCUUCUUGCUUUUCUUGCUCAUAACUAGCAUUUUGAAGCUCUUUUCCACUUCUCAAAGUGAUGGCACUAACAUUCUGUCUGGGAUUAGUUUCUGUUUGAGAAGAGAGCUUACCUUGGGUUUCAGAUUUGCUCAUUAGCUGUCCCACCUGUUGUUGGAGAGUCUGCACAGAAUUUGUAAGUGUUUCUAUCAUCCUUUCAAGGUGCUGAUUGGAACUUGAAGGUGUUGGUUGGGCCUGAUUCCUGUGGAAGUUCUGAUGGUUCUGAAUAUUGUUGGCCCUUCCAUAGCUGAAAUUGGGAUGGUCUCUCCAUCCUGGAUUGUAUGUGUUGGAAUAUGGAUCAUGUUUAGGCUGGUAGUUAUACCCUCCAAUGGCAUUUGCUUGUUGGUGGUCUUCUUGGAGUGUAGGACAUUGAUCAGUUGGAUGUCCCACAUAUGCACAAAUCCCACAUGGCCUAGGUGGCUGGGAUGCUUGAAUCUGUUGCACCAGUCCUAUGGCAAAAUCUUUCAUAACAGAUGUUAGUUCAGAAAUAGUAGGUGAACUUACCUCAUUGACUCCUCUCUGCAGUUGCUUUUCUUCUCCAUAUUACCUAGAUGAGGCUGCAAGUGUUGAGAUCAACUCUCGCAUCUCCCUAGGUGUCUUGUCUACAAUGGAUCCUCCACAAGCUACAUCAAUGAAUCUCCUUUCUGAAGGGGACAUUCCUCCAUAGAAGAACUGUAUGAGGGACCUGUUUGACAUAUGAUGUUGUGGACAACCUGUACAUAGUCUUUCAAACCUUUCCCAAUAAUCAUAUAAGUCCUCAGUUGAUUUCUGUCUUAUGUUAGUGAUCUCUCUUAUUAUGCCAAUUGAUUUAGAUGUUGGGAAGUAUUUGUUCAAAAAGGUUUGGACCAUAUCAUCCCAAGAAGUGAUAGAUCCAGGUGGCAAAUAAAAUAACCAAUCCUUAGCAUAGUCAUCUAAUGAAAAAGGAAAAGCUCUUAACUUAACAUGAUCUUCAGAGAUACCUUAAGGUCUCAUAGAUGAACAGACAAUAUUGAAUUCUUUCAAGUGCUUUUGUGGAUUUUCAUUUUGCAAACCUCUAAAUUUAGGGAGAAGAUGAAUCAAACCUGUUUUCAGUUCAAAUGGAACUGUCAGAGGUGGAUAGGUGAUGCAAAGUGGUGCAUGAUCACCUACAGGUGUUGCCAAUUCUCUCAUGGUUCUUUCUCUUUGUGCUUGGGGUCUAAUGGCUGGAUUUUCUUGAAUUAUUUGGUCUUGGACAGCAUGUCCAUUAUUGGCAGCAACUUGUGGAAUAUGUUCAGCCAUUUCAGGAGCUUGGUUGUGUGGUUGGAGUGUUUCAGAUGAAGCUUCUGCGCAAGAAGACUGCUCAGGCGCAAGUGCGGCUUCAGUUGUGUGUUUAGGCGCAGUGGCUUGCUUUCCUAGUCUUCUGAGAGUGCGUUCAAUUUUUGGAUCGUAAGGGAGAGUGUCCCUACGUUCAGAUCUGGUCAUGAAAGAAAAUUAAACAAGUAAAAUCAAUUCCCCGGCAACGGCGCCAAUUUUUGACUCGCGGUUGUCGAAGCCGAUCAAAAAUAACCUUUCUAGUUAUCAACAAUUUACAACUACAGAUAGUGGUAAAAGGAUCAAAUCCACAGAGAAUUGAUUACCAAUCUAUUUUUCUCAACAAGACCAAGAGAAUUAACUGAAAGCACAAUUGAAAGCAAGUAACUGAAAGCAUAAUAGAAGUAAAGUGCAGUAAAAGUAAAAAGGGGGGUUUUGAGAUUGAUUUGAUUAACAACUACUGAAAGCAAUUAAAUCACUACUGAAAGCAAUUAAACCAGCAACUAAUUAAAAUAAAAGAGAAUUCAAUAUGAGAAAGGUCUAGUUGAAGAUAUGGAUCCACCUUGGUUGUUUGGAUUGAUCAUUGAAACUUAGUUAUGGAGAUGGAAGACGCUUCUCACCACCAUUAUCUCUCCUUAUGAUUAAAUCAAUUAGGGAACGUCCUCUAAUUAAUUACUAAUUAACAAAUUGCCAAGGAAUGUCCUUGGGCCUUAGGCAUCAAAACAAUUGUCAAUUGCAUUAAGAAAUAGAGAGAUCCAAUCCUAGCUAUCCAAACGUAUGGAGAUAACGCUAGAUCAUACAAUUUUCUUGGGUUUGAUCCCAAGUGUUCUCAUGUAAGAAUAAUCUAAGUAAUUAUGGACUUAAAUUAUUCAAACUAACAAAUAAUUAUUUUGCAAUAAAAAAUCAACGUAGAUCUCAAUAACAAAAUAAUAUGAAAAUUAAAUAUGAAAUUGCAUGAAUAUUGAGUUCCCAAAAGUUAAACAAUAUUAGAUCAAGUCUCACAACCCAUUAAUCAACUAAAGUUUCAACCAAUAUUCAACUAGAUCAAAGAAACCAGCCACUCAUUGGCUGAAUUAAAAACAGAAAAAUAAAAGGGAAAAGAAAAGAAAGGAACCGAAGAGCUGAUUUCUUCCUUUGCGCAGAAGCUUGCGGAAUCGCCGAAUUGGAA
rnacentral:lncRNA from 1 species